UACGUAGGUGGCGAGCGUUGUCCGGAUUACUGGGCGUAAAGAGCGCGCAGGCGGUCGUUCAAGUCGCGUGUGAAAGCCCCCGGCUCAACUGGGGAGGGUCACGCGAUACUGAUCGACUCGAAGGCAGGAGAGGGUAGUGGAAUUCCCGGUGUAGUGGUGAAAUGCGUAGAUAUCGGGAGGAACACCAGUGGCGAAGGCGGCGACCUGGGUCGAGACUGACGCUGAGGCGCGAAAGCGUGGGAGCAAACAGG
rnacentral:rRNA from 1 species